GGGGCCGGGUUCCGCCCUCGCGCGGGGAGGCCGCGGGAGGCGCGGGAGCGACGCGAUCCCGGGCGCCCGGAACGCCCGCGCGGGGAUCGGCAGCCCCUGUCGCAGCGUGGGAGCCCCGGGAGCCAGCUGACAUCCCGGCCCCAUGUCAAGCUUUCUCGGCGUGCUCCGAACUUGGUCGCAGCCCACCGUCGCGUUUCACUGGACCGGGAAAGCUUUACCGCGGAGUUUAACGCACACUCAGGUCGCAUUUCCUUUCCCAAGGCUGGGUUCCAAAACAAAACAAAACAAAAACAGCUUUAUGGAGGUCUGAUUCACAACCCAUACGAUUCACCGAUUUAAAGUGCAUAGUAAGUGGGUUUUAGUAUAGUCACCGACCUGUGCAACCACCACCGGGAUCAAUUUUAGGACAUUCGGUUACACAAAAUCGCUUGUACCCAUCAACAGCCACGCCGGAUUCCUCCCAACCCGCGCCCAGCCGUUGGCUCUCACCCAUCUUUCUGUCUCUACAGAUCUGCCUAACGUGGAUAUUUCAUAUAAAUGGAAUUCUAUGAUAUGCAGCCUUUUCUGUCGGGCUUAUUUCACUUUACUUUUCGACGUUCAUCCAUGUUAUACAUGUAUCGGUACUUCAUUCUUUCUAUCACCAACUUGUAUUCCAUUGAAUAAAUAUACCACUUUGCAUUUAUCCCAUCAUCAACUGAUGGACAUAUGGGUUGUUUCCAUUUGGGGGCUAUUAUGAAUAAUACUGCGGUGAACAUUCGGGUGCAAGAUUUUGUGUGGAUAUAUGCUUUCAUUUCUCCUGGGUAUAUACCCAGGAGUAGAAUUGUUGGAUCAUGUUUAACCUGAACUGCCAGAUGUUUUCCAAAGCAGCCACACCAUUUUAUAUUCCCACCAACAAUAUAUGAGGGUUCCAAUUUCUCCAUAUCCUCACCAACACUUGUUAUCAUCUAUCUUUUUAACGAUAGCCUUUCUAGUGGGUGUGAUAUUUCAUCGUGGUUUUGAUUUGCAUAAGGUAUAUGUUUUUGUUUGCUUGCUUGCUUUUCCUUUCUGUUGUUUUUAGAAAUACGAAGGACAGGCGCCUGUGAGGCUCAGUCGGUUAAGCCUCCAACUCUUCAUCUCGGCUCAGAUCGUGAUCUCACGGAUCGUGGGAUCAAGCCCGAAGUCUGGCUCUGCUGACAGUGUGAAGCCUGCUUGGGGUUCUCUCUCUCUUCUCUCUUUCCCUACCUAACCCCUCUCUCUCCCUCUCUCAAAAUAAACAAACAUUAAAAAAAGAAAGAAGCUCAGGGGCAAAGGAACUGAUCUUACUUUUUCUUCUUAAUUGUGUUGUCUCGAGUUGGGCAAAUUGCAAGGUUUGAGGGCACAGGCCUCAGGACUUCUGACCCCAGUUACAAAUUUGGGGGUUCCCCCCAAAUAGAAACAAAUUAAAAAUAAAAAAACAGGGGCACCUGCAUGGCUCAGUCAGUUGAGCAUCUGACUCUUGGGGAGUCUCCUGUCUCUCUCUCUCUCUCUCUCCCUCCCUCUCUCUCACUGCCCCUCCAUGGUUUGCUCUCUCUCUUUCUCUCUCUUUCUCAGAAAAUAAACAAAUAAACAUUAAACAAACAAAACUGGGGGCUCCCAAACCACCUUCACUUUUGAUAAUUCUCUGGAAGGCCUCCCAGAACUCACAGAGGCACUCCCCAUGGCUGUGGUUCCUGAUGAAGUCAGCUAAGGGAAGAAGUGCAGAGGGCAAAGUGUGGGGGCCUCCACACGCAAAGCUGCUGUCGCCUCCCAUGCAGUCAGGGCGUGUGACACGCCCAGCCUGGGUGUGUGAGGAUUGCACACCAGGGAAGCUUGUUUGCUGUUCAGUGUUUAUUGGAGCUUCCAGUAUGUAGGCAUGACUGAUUGAUUGAUUGAUUGCCCUUGUGGCUGAAGUCAGUCUUCAGGUCAACUUGACGAUGCAUGAUGGGAUCUCUCAGCUACAUCACCUGGAUGGGUCUUUCUGGCACGACCAGCCUCCACCUUAGAGUACAGAUUGGCCUGCCCUCGUCUAAACAAAGACGCUUUUAUCAGGUGCGGCAUAGAUUACCUCCCAGAAGGCAAAGACAAAGGCCAGACCUCCUCUUCAGGCAAGCCCAAAUUCUUUACUGCACCACCUCGCCUUUAUCCAAAGCUCUCCUGCAGCAAAAUAAACAUAUGCCCUAACGUUUGGAGGUGGCAGCGUGGAGUAGGAGGCUCUUAACUCAGUUUUCAGACUAUCAAUAUCAGCGGUGCAAUCUUCCCGGUGACACGGUACCAACGUUACACCACAUCACAGUGUGGGGAGUGGACGUAACCUGAAGGGUAAGAGUCACAAGAUGGUGGCGUAUUACUGAAAUUCCACUCAAUCAUCGACAACCGGCCCAACUCGUCAUCAUGUCAUACGACCACAAUGGGUCCCAAAGCAUUCCCACUCAGGUUUGCAGGUUUCCAUUCAACUCAUCAGUUUCUAGAAACAGGAGAGGUCUCUACCCCCAGAGACGUCUACCGAGUGCUCUUAGGAGACCGUCUUGUCUCUUGCUCCGAGCCCCCCACCCCCACCCCGCAAGGUGUUAAUGUAAUACUGGAUCUUUCUUGUGGCAUAGCCUAUUUAUUUGUUCUUUUGCCCUUAGCUACUAUUUCUCCUUCUAUUUGUGAUUUAUUUUUAUUCAGACUAUCUCCUGUUGGAAGGAAUGUGUGUGAAGUUCAGCCCGGUGAUACGCUGUUCCUGAUUGCCUGCACUGACACUACUUGAGGAAAUGCACCCCCCUCAGUCCAUUCCCCUUCAUACAAGAGCUACACAGUCAUACCAGCGUUCUCCCUCACCCCUUCUGGAGACCCCCCAGAAAAGCAGAGAAAUCUACCGAGUAAGCAACACCCUCAUGAAGAUACGAUCUGAACACGGCAGGACAAGAUAAGGGUGAAGAAAUGUGGGCACUUGACUCAGGCACAAAGUUUGAUGAGAUGCCAAAAUAAUCAGUAAUCAAGAUAAACAAUGUUUUAAGAUGAUAUUACAAAAGCAUCAAAAUUAAUCCAUGGUGAAGCAAAAAAAAUCCAUGGUGAAGACAUAUCAAAAUCGUAAAGAUCAUCUCGACAUGACUGACCGAAUGAGUCAUAGAAGUUUGUAAUGGGGUUACAUUCCUACGGUCACCACCCCAAAGCAGGUUAUCACCUCAUUCUUGGUCUUUAAAAAUUGUUGAUUCCAACAUUUUUAUCUGAUUUGAAAAAUAACAAAUAGACUUCACAUUUUCGUUCUUUUUAAAAAUUUUUUUUUCAACAUUUAUUUAUUUUUGGGACAGAGAGAG